rnacentral:rRNA from 1 species
AUUCCAGCUCCAAUAGCGUAUAUUAAAGUUGUUGCAGUUAAAAAGCUCGUAGUUGAACCUUGGACAAAGUGCGCGUGGUCUACCGCAAGGUAUGACUGCGGCGCUGCGUCUCUUUAGGGGGACUCGAUGCUUCGGUGUCGAGGUAACCCGUGUUACUGUGAAGAAAUUAGAGUGUUUAAAGCAGGCUAUCGCUUGAAUACAUCAGCAUGGAAUAACAAGUUGGACUUUGCUCCUACUUGUUGGUUUGAGGGGAAAAGUAAUGAUUAAUAGGGCCAGUUGGGGGCAUUAGUAUUCAGUAGUCAGAGGUGAAAUUCUUGGAUUUACUGAAGACUAACUAGUGCGAAAGCAUUUGCCAAGGAUGUUUUCAUUA